rnacentral:rRNA from 1 species
AAUAGAUACCCGGGUAGUCCACGCCGUAAACGAUGGAUGCUAGCUGUUAUGCGUAUCGACCCGUGUAGUAGCGAAGCUAACGCGUUAAGCAUCCCGCCUGGGGAGUACGAACGCAAGUUUAAAACUCAAAGGAAUUGACGGGGACCCGCACAAGCGGUGGAGCGUGUUCUUUAAUUCGAGGCUAAGCGAAGAACCUUAUCAGGGCUUGACAUCCUUGGAAUUUCUCCGAAAGGAGAGAGUACUUUAUUGGACCAAGUGACAGGUGCCGCAUGGCCGUCGUCAGCUCGUGUCGUGAGAUGUUUGGUUAAGUCCAUUAACGAGCGCAACCCUUAUGAAUAGUUGUAUUUUUCUAUUCAGACUGCCCCGGUAACGGGGAGGAAGGGGGGAUGAUGUCAGGUCAGUAUUGCCCUUACGCCCUGGGCUAGAAACGCGCUACAAUGGCCGGUACAAUGCGCUGCCAACCCGCGAGGGGGAGCAAAUCGCAUCAAAGCCGGUCCCAGUUCGGAUAAGAGGCUGAAACUCGCCUCUUUGAAGCCGGAAUCGCUAGUAAUCGU